UACAGAGGGUGCAAGCGUUAAUCGGAAUUACUGGGCGUAAAGCGUGCGCAGGCGGUUUCUUAAGUCUGUCGUGAAAUCCCCGGGCUCAACCUGGGAAUUGCGAUGGAGACUGCGAGGCUAGAGUUUGGCAGAGGGGGGUAGAAUUCCACGUGUAGCAGUGAAAUGCGUAGAGAUGUGGAGGAACACCGAUGGCGAAGGCAGCCCCCUGGGUCAAAACUGACGCUCAUGCACGAAAGCGUGGGGAACAAACAGG
rnacentral:rRNA from 1 species